rnacentral:rRNA from 1 species
GAUGAACGCUGGCGGCGUGCCUAAUACAUGCAAGUCGAGCGAACAGACGAGGAGCUUGCUCCUCUGACGUUAGCGGCGGACGGGUGAGUAACACGUGGAUAACCUACCUAUAAGACUGGGAUAACUUCGGGAAACCGGAGCUAAUACCGGAUAAUAUAUUGAACCGCAUGGUUCAAUAGUGAAAGACGGCUUUGCUGUCACUUAUAGAUGGAUCCGCGCCGCAUUAGCUAGUUGGUAAGGUAACGGCUUACCAAGGCAACGAUGCGUAGCCGACCUGAGAGGGUGAUCGGCCACACUGGAAGUGGGACACGGACCAGACUCCUACGGGAGGCAGCAGUAGGGAAUCUUACGCAAUGGGCGAAAGCCUGACGGAGCAACGCCGCGUGAGUGAUGAAGGUCUUCGGAUCGUAAAACUCUGUUAUUAGGGAAGAACAAAUGUGUAAGUAACUAUGCACGUCUUGACGGUAACUAAUCAGAAAGCCACGGCUAACUACGUG